rnacentral:rRNA from 1 species
GACGGAGGGUGCAAACGUUGUUCGGAAUCACUGGGCGUAAAGGGCGCGUAGGCGGAUCUUUAAGUCGGGGGUGAAAGCCCAGGGCUCAACCCUGGAAUUGCCUUCGAUACUGAAGAUCUCGAAACCGGAAGAGGUAAGUGGAACUGCGAGUGUAGAGGUGAAAUUCGUAGAUAUUCGCAAGAACACCAGUGGCGAAGGCGGCUUACUGGUCCGGUUCUGACGCUGAGGCGCGAAAGCGUGGGGAGCAAACAGG